AACGAACGCUGGCGGCGCGUCUUAAACAUGCAAGUCGAACGGCAGGAAGGGGCUUGCCCCUUCUGAGAGUGGCGGACUGGUGAGUAACACGUGGGUGACAUACCUUUUAGUUGGGGAUAGCUAUUAGAAAUAGUAGGUAAUACCGAAUGUGACCGUACCUGUUAGAGGGGUACGAGGAAAGGAGCUAAGGCUUCGCUAAAAGAAUGGCUCGCGGCCCAUUAUGCUCGUUGGUGAGGUAACGGCCCACCAAGGCGAUGAUGGGUAUCCGGCCUGAGAGGGUGGACGGACACAUUGGGACUGAGAUACGGCCCAGACUUCUACGGGAGGCAGCAGUUAAGAAUAUUCCGCAAUGGACGAAAGUCUGACGGAGCGACGCCGCGUGGAUGAAGAAUGCCGAAAGGUUGUAAAAUCCUUUUAAGCCUGAUGAAUAAGCACAGUAGGGAAUGAUUGUGCGGUGACCGUAGGGCUUGAAUAAGCACCGGCUAAUUACGUG
rnacentral:rRNA from 1 species